GGAAGUAAUGUGUUAUUUUUCUCUCCUCUUUCUUCCUCUGUCCACUUUGCCUGUUUGAUGGGUUUGGGGAGGAAAAGCACUACACUGCAAGGGCAGCAAACCACAUCCAGGUCCUUCUUGUGCUUCAUCUCCUCAGCUGCUUGUCCCCCUGCUGUUUCCAAUCAUUGUAGUGAUCCAUAUCCGCACACUUUCUCUUCCUCUCAUUCCCAUGCUUGCUCUCGCUCUUUUCUUUUUUGUGUGUGUUCAUAACUAUCCUGAAUGUCUGAGCUUCAGAGCGGGUAAAGCUGAACCCACCUUUGUGUUCCUCAAAGCCCUGGGAUUUCUUUGCUAUGCUCAUCUCCCAGCAGCACAGACCAAUUAAUAUUGUCUUCAGGCCCUUUCCCAGACCCGCGCGUGUUCUUGUUGUUCUCUGAAAAGGCACAUCAUCUCCAUCCCCAUGGCUGCUACUGACUGCUCCUUCCAAUUUAUUUUCAGGUGCUCUUACUGCAGGUUGCAUCCACCAGUUCCCUUUCCAGAAGGGAUGAGUGUAAUUGCUUCAGAUUCUUCUGACAGUCUGUAUCUCGGAAGACCAUUUGGAGGAGACUAUCUGGCAUCCCUCUUCUGUGCUGAAUUCUGAAAGGCCCAAGGUCUUGCCUGGAGAAGCAGUGAACAGUGGUGGACAAAUGAGUUUCUGGGAUUUGUAUCUGGGAGAAGCAGAAUGUACUUGGCCUGUUCUGAGGUGGGAUUGUGAAACAAGUAGAAUCGCAGAGAGCAUCAUUCUUAGAGAAGUGUGAUAAUGAAGCAUUUGCUUUGGUGUAGCAGCAUCUACACCAGUAUAUCUGCAUUCAUCUGUAUGGCUCUUCUCUCACCCGCAUCCUUCAGGAUGUUUCAGCCUUGCAGCACCAAAGGAAGUUGAGGGAGCAAUGCUAGAGGCACCAGAAACCACUCUGCUCCUUCUGAUGGUGGCUACAACAGCCCAGACACCAUGCAGACAUCUUUCUGCAGACAGAUGAGGAGAUCUGCUCCAGACCCAGCAGCCUGCAUCCCCGCUGGUGGGAACUGCAGCAGGGCUGGGAGCGGGGCCAGGCUCCCUGCUUCCUUUCUUCCUUCUUGCUGUACUACCAUGGUUGUCCCUACGGGCCUCCUAACAGCCUUGCCAUGGUUGAUGGAGAAAGAUCUUUCCUUCCUGUAUCUCUUCUCAUCCAGAACGCCUUUUUAAUGUUUUCCUGCUUUGCUGGUUCUUACAUUUUAGAUUUCAGCCGUGUGCAUGUUUUAUCCCUUGUGCUCUCUUAAAGCUAAAACUAGGAAUUAAGACAAUCUUACAGAGAGGGUGUUUUUUUUUUGCAAUUAGUUGCACAAUCAAGUUUUUUUGAGAAGGAGCAAAUCUGCAUUUUGCCAUUGAGAGUUGCCCUGUCUGCUUUGCAUUUGAGUAAACCCAGCCUGAGGCUUUGAAAAAAAGCCCCUGCAGGACCAGCAUGUCCCUGACUGGAAGAGGAGUGCGUUCAACACCUGGUUUGUGAUGAUGAUAAGGCGUUUCCUGCCACUCAGCCCUUCUAGCUCUCCUAAGAGAGCCUAGCCCUGCCUGUGGACAGGUCCCUGCUUGUUUCAUGCAUUGUUCAAAUUGUUCAGCAAGUUCUUACGAAGGAAAACAGCUCAGUCACAAAGAGGUUAUGUGGCUGUCAUGGGCACGACUGGAAUGUCAUCUCUUGCUUGGCUUGGGAGAAAAUAAAACUGAUUUAUGUGCGGAUGCUGGUCAAGGUACCUGGAGCAUCUUGGUGUGCAAAUGAUUUGCCAAGUUGGUUUUUACAGCAGGACUCCUCUGUUGCAUUCCACGGAGGAAUUACUAACGUGAUGCCGGAGAGAAAGGGUGCUGUAGUCCAG